UCACCUAUGAGAACCUCCAGGGAUCCGGGGCCCAGGAGGAGCCCCCCAGAACUGGCCAGGAGGCUGAAGGCCAGAGUCUUCCUCGGGAGACCCUCCUGAGGGUGGAGGGGCCUGCAGUGGCCCAGGGCAUCCAACCUAGGAAACAGCAGCCUGCUGCCAGGACCCAAAGCGCCCUGAUCCCGGGGCACAAGGGCAGCGCAGGGUGGAGUCCCCGGACCAGGUGGGCGGCCUUGGGAGUGCUGGCCAUCGUCCUCUUUCUCCUCUCUAUCAUCAUCAGCCUCGGGGUGCAAUACGCACAGGCCUCCCGGCAGCUCCGGCAAGCGUCCCGAGACCACGCGGCAGAGCUCAACUCCACUCUGGUGGCCCUUUGGCGCAUCUGGGCAGACAGGAACCGCACUCAGCAGCAACUGCAGCACCAGGAGCUCCUGGUGGGCCAAACCAACCGCAGCCUGGCUCUCCUGUGGAGGGAGAGGGCGAGCCUGACGGCCAACCUCAGCCGU